CGAACGGGUGAGUAACACGUGGAUAACCUACCUAUAAGACUGGGAUAACUUCGGGAAACCGGAGCUAAUACCGGAUAAUAUAUUGAACCGCAUGGUUCAAUAGUGAAAGACGGUUUUGCUGUCACUUAUAGAUGGAUCCGCGCCGCAUUAGCUAGUUGGUAAGGUAACGGCUUACCAAGGCAACGAUGCGUAGCCGACCUGAGAGGGUGAUCGGCCACACUGGAACUGAGACACGGUCCAG
rnacentral:rRNA from 1 species